AACGAACGCUGGCGGCAGGCUUAACACAUGCAAGUCGAACGCUUGGGAGCGAUCCCUUGAGUGGCAGACGGGUGAGUAACGCGUGGGAACAUACCCUUCGGUACGGAACAACUUGGGGAAACUCGAGCUAAUACCGUAUGCGGCCUAUGGGCGAAAGAUUGUAUCGCCGAAGGAUUGGCCCGCGUCCGAUUAGCUAGUUGGUGGGGUAACGGCCCACCAAGGCGACGAUCGGUAGCUGGUCUGAGAGGAUGGCCAGCCACAUUGGGACUGAGACACGGCCCAAACUCCUACGGGAGGCAGCAGUGGGGAAUAUUGCGCAAUGGGCGAAAGCCUGACGCAGCGACGCCGCGUGGGGGA
rnacentral:rRNA from 1 species